UGGGGAAUAUUGGACAAUGGGCGAAAGCCUGAUCCAGCAAUGCCGCGUGAGUGAUGAAGGCCUUAGGGUUGUAAAGCUCUUUUACCCGGGAUGAUAAUGACAGUACCGGGAGAAUAAGCUCCGGCUAACUCCGUGCCAGCAGCCGCGGUAAUACGGAGGGAGCUAGCGUUGUUCGGAUAUACUGGGCGUAAAGCGCACGUAGGCGGCGCAGCAAGUCAGGGGUGAAAUCCCGGAGCUCAACUCCGGAACUGCCCUUGAAACUGCAGUGCUAGAAUUCUGGAGAGGCGAGUGGAAUUCCGAGUGUAGAGGUGAAAUUCGUAGAUAUUCGGAAGAACACCAGUGGCGAAGGCGACUCGCUGGACAGACAUUGACGCUGAGGUGCGAAAGCGUGGGGAGCAAACAG
rnacentral:rRNA from 1 species